CGGGAGACAGCAGUCGAGAGGCUUCGGCAAUGGGGGAAACCCUGACCGAGCGACGCCGCGUGGAGGAUGAAGGCCCUUGGGUUGUAAACUCCUUUUGUCAGCGAAGAAAUGCGAUCAGGUGAAUAAUCUGGUCGCUUGACGGUAGCUGACGAAUAAGCUCCGGCUAACUCCGUGCCAGCAGCCGCGGUAACACGGGGGGAGCAAGCGUUGUUCGGAAUCACUGGGCGUAAAGGGCGUGUAGGCGGUCAGGUAAGUGAGAUGUGAAAUCCCUCGGCUCACCCGAGGACCGGCAUCUCAUACUGCUUGGCUUGAGUACGGGAGAGGAUGAGGGAAUUCCUGGUGUAGCGGUGAAAUGCGUAGAUAUCAGGAGGAACACCGGUGGCGAAGGCGCUCAUCUGGCCCGAUACUGACGCUGAGGCGCGAAAGCUAGGGGAGCAAACGGGAUUAGAAACCCUGGUAGUCC
rnacentral:rRNA from 1 species